rnacentral:rRNA from 1 species
UAGGGAAUCUUCCGCAAUGGGCGAAAGCUUGACGGAGCAACGCCGCGUGAGUGAUGAAGGUCUUCGGAUCGUAAAACUCUGUUAUUAGGGAAGAACAAAUGUGUAAGUAACUAUGCACGUCUUGACGGUACCUAAUCAGAAAGCCACGGCUAACUACGUGCCAGCAGCCGCGGUAAUACGUAGGUGGCAAGCGUUAUCCGGAAUUAUUGGGCGUAAAGCGCGCGUAGGCGGUUUUUUAAGUCUGAUGUGAAAGCCCACGGCUCAACCGUGGAGGGUCAUUGGAAACUGGAAAACUUGAGUGCAGAAGAGGAAAGUGGAAUUCCAUGUGUAGCGGUGAAAUGCGCAGAGAUAUGGAAGAACACCAGUGGCGAAGGCGACUUUCUGGUCUGUAACUGACGCUGAUGUGCGAAAGCGUGGGGAUCAAACAGG